CUUUGGAAUUUUCCCAGGCCCUCAUGCAAGCACAGCCUGAGUAUAAAGGCGCACCCCGACAAAUUUUGCCAGGCCCCCUUCACAAAUCACUUGUGCUGUUGACUGCUUCACCAUGUCUCAGAAAACCAAGGCCAGCAGUAUGGAGUCGACAGCCCAGGAGGCAGAUACCUUCAGUGACCAUGGAUCCAACUGGACACGGGAAGAACUGGAGGACCUAAUUGACGUUUGGUUGGAGUGAAGGAUCAUAGAUGAAAUUUAAAGUAGGAGAAAUGAGCCUGUUUAUGUCAAGAUUGAAAAAGGCAAUCAUGACUGGACCCAGGUCUGGUGCAAGAUCAAGCCCCUGAGAUCAGCAUUUUACAGAACCAAAGAUGUGAAAUCUCAUUCUGGGGCAGGUUGCACAAUUGCUCCCUUCUAUGACAAGCUGUACAUCAUUCUCUCCAAGGAUGUAGGUGACAACCCAGGCACAGAGACUUUCAGCACCAGGGUUGGGCAGAAGGAGGCGGCAGCAGCCUCUCCUGAGAGUGAAACUAUGAGCAGCAUGUCUCAGCUGUACAGGGACCGCUCCUUGCUCCCUGAUGACCAUUAGUGGCAGGAAGAUCUUUUGGUCACCAUACACUUAGUGCCACUUAGUCCUGUUCCACGGACUAGCACAGAUAAUGAAGCAGAGGAGGUGGAGGGUCAUGAAGAAAUCCAUGUGGCCGAAACAUCAUCUAUUGUUACCGAGACCCAAGAACAUGCUGGACCUUCUAGCAUUGGCAGUGGCAGCUGUGGACCUGUUUCUGAAGCGAGUACUUCCACCGUGACCCAUGGCCGCCUGGAAUGGUGCCCUGCUUGCACUACAGCAGAGCACCGCAGAGAUUUUCGCAGAGAGGCGGUCCUGCGAAAUCUCACUCAAGGUUUUGGCAGAGUCCUCAGUAACCAGAGUGCAAUGCACAGAUGCCUGGUGGGACAAAUUCCGUGAGUUGCUGCAUAAGAAUGAUGCCAUCCACGAGGAAGUGCAAGACACUAUGUGGAAUUUCAAAGACAUGGUCUAAAGGCCCUGGGAAGUCCAUGCAUGGAGAAGUUUUGCAGAUUGCCUGCUUGCUGCUGGGGUGGGUGGGGUUGUUGUUUAGUCUUUUUUUCUUAGAAGAAAUGCUGAUUACACCCUAGCUAGCACUUAAAAAGCAUUUGACCUCCCUCCGACCCACCCUGCAACUGUUUGCAACUCUUUCCAGUAAUGCCAUGACUCCAUAAACCCCCUCCAAGCACAGCAUCCCCACGCUGAAGCGGGUGUGGUCUCUGAAAACCAGCCCAACCACCCACCCACCCACCUCAAAUAAAACAUGACACAUAUAUAGAGCAAAAAUAAAACAUUUUAUUGAAAACGCUACAGCUUAACAAUAUAAAAUAUGUACACAACGUAAAAAAUAUAAAAAACCCUGCAAAUCUGAGCAUGUUUCACUCUCCUCUACACUCUCUUCAUUCAGUACUGGGCUGGUUGCCGCCCCCGGCGAGUUCCACUGAUGAAAGUUUUCUGCAAGGAGGGGGAAAAAGGAGGAAGAGGAGGGGGGGUUUGGAGCAUAGUCGAAAAACCGGACUUUUGCACACCCCCCCCAGUCAGUGGGACAUAUGACCUCAAUAUCAUCCAGGACACUGCAUAUCCUGGGUGCUGGGUCUGGCAGGCAGCGUCCUGCCUCUGGACUUCUUUUGUCAUGCUUCUGAAUUGGAAUGUGAUGAAGUUCAAAAGGUUUGCAAUACUGAAGGAAGUCAUGUAACCACUCACUCCAAAGUUUCAAACUACUUGCAAAAAACUUACCAUUAUGAGGAUGCUGCAUCUGUCAUUGGGAGCUAUGUCCACUGCAGUGGCAGCACAUGACGGAGGGUGCAGGGGGUAUGAGGACAGGCAGAAUGCACCCGAGAGUCUUGAAGGAGGUGGCAGACAUCGUUGCACCCCCCUUGGCAAAGAUAUUUAAAAAUUCAUGGCGCUUAUGUACCCUUUGCACCCCCUACGCAUCACCACUGGCUGAGGUCCUGGAAGCCUAGAAAGGAUCCAUCAACACCAGACUAAUGGAAGGUGAGCUUCUGAAGGUCAGCCAACAUGACUUUGUGACUGGCAGGUCUUGCCUGACCAACCUUAUCUCCUUUUAUGACCAGGUGACACGAGCCCUGGACAAAGGAGAUGAUGUGGAUGUCAUAUAUCUGGAUUUCAAAAAAGCCUUUGACCUAAUUCCCCAUGAUGUCCUCAUGGCUAAGCUGGGGAAUUGUGGCUUAAUCAUUUUACAGUCUGAUGGCUAGGCAACUGGUUAUGGGUUCAGACCCAAAAAGUACUAGUUGAUGGGAGCAAAUCAACGUGGCACAGGGUGACUCAGGGCUCGGUACAACGUGGUACUCACAACGUGACUCAGGACUCAGUACUUGGGCUGGUACUCUUUAACAUCUUCGUUAACAAUCUGGAGUCGGGAGUCAGAUGUGAACUGGCAAAGUUUGCGGAUGACACCAAAUUAUGGGGGAGGGCAUUCACACUGCAGGACAGGCUGGGGAUACAGGUUGACUUGGACAUGCUCUCAAGAUGGGCUGACCAAAACCUGAUGGCCUUCAAAGUUGAGAAGUAUAAGGUGCUGCACCUCAGUAGGAAGAACUCUCAACACGCUUACAAACUUGGCAGUGCUAUGCUUGCUAGUACCACAACCAUAAGAGACUUGUGGGUCCUGAUUGACCACAAGAUGAAUAUGAGUCACCAAUGCGAUGCUGUGGCUGGCAAAGCAAACCAAACUGGUGUGCAUCUACCGAUGCAUCUCAAGCAAAACCAGGGAUGUCAUCCUCCCACUUUACUCGGCCUUGGUGAGGCUGCAGCUGGAGUACUGUGCCUAGUUUUGGGCCCCCCACUUCAGGAGGGAUAUGGAAAAGCUUGAGAGAAUCCAGAGGAGAGCCACUCAUAUGAUUCAAGGCCUGGAGGGCAGGCUGUACGAGGAGAGGCUGAGGGAUUUGGGACUCUUCAGUCUGGAAAAGAGAAGGCUCAGGAAGGACUUGGUAGCAGCCUACAAUUAUAUAAAAAGGGUACAUUAGGACCUGGGAGAACAGCUGUUCACCAGAACUCCCCAAGGGAUAUCAAGGUCCAAUGGUCAUAAACUCUAGGAAGGCUGAUUUAGACUAGCCAUGAGAAAAAAGUUCUUUAAGGUGCAAGUGUCCAGGGUCUGGAACAGACUUCCCCCAGAGAUGGUGCAAGCACCUACUCUGGAUUCUUUCAAAAAAUAUCUGGAUAUUUUUCUUGGUGGGAUCACUUGAUCCCAGCUGACUUCCUGCCUGGGGGUGGGCUGGACUCGAUGAUCGCACAAGGUCCCUUCCAGCCCCUAAUGUCUAUAAAUCUAUGAAUUUCUGAAUCUAUGACAGGAGGGUACAUGGGCGGAGGCUGGAGGACAUACAUUAUAGGUGGUGGUGGGGGGCAGAAGAAUUAAGAGAGGGUAGAAAAUUAAGGGAUUAUUGGCCUCCUCCAUUUUAAAAUAAUAAUAUUUUUUUUUGAGCGGACCCGUCCCGACCUGAACCUAUGGCCACUUCACUGAGUGCUUUAAGGGAGGAGGAAGGGGUGAGGAGGGUAAAAAAGAACACACAGUGGCACCUACUGGCUAGAGGCCGGAACACAGCACCCCCUCAUGGCAGAGGGGAUUAAUUGGAAGUCUUUGGAAUCUGGCUGUUUGCACGAACAAAUCCGCAGUUGGAACGGUGUAACUGGAGACCUCCACAAAUUAACACAUUUCUGAGUAGUGUUAGUUUGAGGCACUAAAUGGACUUUAGAGUGGCAGGAAAUCCUGGGUCAUGCAAACACAAAUGCAGUUGCGUUGGCGUAAAUGGGAAAUAUUGUUUCAUCUACGCACACCCCCCAGCCACCUUGGGAGAUCUCUAUAGUAUUGACUGAAGUAUAAACAUACCCUUAGUCAAUCAAGCAAACACAAGAACUUGCUUCUUGCUGGUCCAGGGGGAGCCUGAGUUUGGGCUCCCUCUGCACUGGCAAUAAGGCAUGAUGGGAUCUAAUGUGUGAUGCCACAACUGUGCUUCCUGCCAUGCAUGUGUGGCAUGGCAGGUGGUACGAUUGUGUGACUCGCACUUUAGAUCCCAUUGUGCCUUUACCUGCAUGUGUAGAGAGGGCCUAAGAUGAAAGAUGCCUCUGUGGAAUCAGAAAAAAUAUAUGCCUUAAACUUUGAUUAUUUUAGUUAUAAGAUGACAUAACUGCUUUGUGGAGAAUUGCUGGCUCUGUACAGUAGAACAGAUAAGGGCCAGUGUUUGUUCUUUGUAACUCCUCUGCAACUGCUUCGCUCACCGCGGCCUUGAAGGUAGCAAAAAGUAUGUACAAAGUAGAUUUCCAGGUGCAAGAAGGAGGUUUGUGAACUAACCUCGCCUCCCCCAUUAGUUCCCAUCCUAAUUACAGCAAAGAAAUAAUGAAGUAAUAUUAUAGCCGCUUUUCAUGCUAAUUUCACUAUAUGAUCACGUGAGUUGUAAGCGACUGUUAAAAAGUAUAUAAGCCUCCUGAUUUUGCUCUGGGGGGGGGACCCCUUCCAAGUGCUUGGGAAAUCCAUGUCACUUUGGAACUCCCCCUACAGCUGUAGUUUCUUUUAAAUAAAAGCUUCUGC